AAACAUGGUCUCCAAUAAUAUAUAAGGAAAAAAAAUGAAGAAAAAAAACAAAAUGAAAACAAACUCAUAAAAACCAACGUUUUUCUUCAUGAAUAAACACUGUUCAUCUUCUUCUACCAUGCACACACAGUCUUAUACUCUCCAGAAACAUGCUUUCCUUCAUAGAUCAAACAAACAUCUCUUUUUUUCAUGAAAACUCAAAGUGGAAACUCUCCCACAAAAUCAAAGACUCCCAC
rnacentral:lncRNA from 1 species